CAGUAGCCGCGGUAAUACGAAGGGUGCAAGCGUUAAUCGGAAUUACUGGGCGUAAAGCGCACGCAGGCGGUUUGUUAAGUCAGAUGUGAAAUCCCCGAGCUUAACUUGGGAACUGCAUUUGAAACUGGCAAGCCAGAGUCUUGUAGAGGGGGGUAGAAUUCCAGGUGUAGCGGUGAAAUGCGUAGAGAUCCGGAGGAAUACCGGUGGCGAAGGCGGCCCCCUGGACAAAGACUGACGCUCAGGUGCGAAAGCGUGGGGAGCAAACAGGAUUAGAUACCCCUGUAGUCCCUGUCUCUUAUAA
rnacentral:rRNA from 1 species